UUCAGCCAGAAGAGCACUUGAACACUGUCCCAUUGUGAUGCUGUCCGAGGGAAGGAGCACAAUGGAAGGCACGCAAGAUUUUUGUUUACGUCAACUUGCCUACAUGCCUUUAGAGAGCUGAACUGCGAAAAGCACUGACUCCAGAGCAAGAAACUUUUCAAACUUUCCACGAUAUCAAACCUCUACCUUGUUACACUUGGCCUUUUAGCUGACAUCAACAUUCAAUGCUUUUAAACACAUGGAAAAUUUUAGUGAGAUGAGUGAACCAGACAAAACCCAAUGAGACUUGCUGGCCAACCAGAACUGAAAACCUCAAGCCUAAGGAAGAGUUACGUUGCUCUUAAGAGGCAGCAAGCUGGUCAGUCAUACAAAGGCAGCAGAUGAGCCUGGAGAGAACAUGAACAGCACAUUUGGCUUUGAGGGACAAUGGUAAAAGCACAGAAGACAAUAAGUGGAAAGAUGUGCCAGGAGAUUACAUAAAUAAAAAGAUCAACAUCUCCCAUGACUGCUCAGUGCUGGAUGUUUGCACUCAAUUGCUCUUCAGGAAGAAUGAUGGGUUAAUAAAUCCCUGCAGGUCUGUCCCACCAUCCAGGAAAUCCUGCCCAUGCAUAGCACCAGAAGAAAGACACGUGCUAUGAACAUCUACAGCUGAGCUAAAAUUAUGCCUGCCACAUGAGCUGCUAAAAGCAGAGGUGAUUCUAUAUCACUUCAUCUACCCACAUCCUCCCUCACCCAGCGUACGCUCAGUUCACAAUAGCUGAGUACCACCAGGAGACAUGGAGAAGCUCCUGAAACCACCCACAAGUCAGAUCUACGUAACAGCCUUCUGCAUAUGGUAACUUCACAGCUUUUCUCUAAUGGGAUAAGAUCACCUCAUCAGCAGUAGCUGGCAACACAAA